AUUCCACUUUCAUAUAACAGAGUACACCCCAAAGGAGUGACAAUUGAGAACACAAGGAGCUUUGGCUUCCAAAUAUGUCUAACGCACUUUGUGUUCUCAGGUCACCCCUUUGGGGCUUCCUGUUUACAUGGCAUGACAACACACCAUUGUAAGAGAGAAAGAGAACCCAAGAAAACCAAAAUCCCAGAUGUUCAGGAUAACAUUUUCAUGUAUCAGAGUACACCCCAUAAGGGUGACACCUGAGAGCACAACUAGUGUUGGCUACUCUAAUGUAAAGCUAAUGCAGUUUGUGUUCUCAGGUCACCCUUAAUGGGGCACUAUGUUUACCUGAAAUCUCAAAUUGAAGUUUUUAGAGCCAUUUUUUUAAUGAAUGAAAAGGGGUCUUCGGAGUGGACUCAUCGACUCCUUCCCACAUGACGUUUCAGCAGGAUUCAACCAAAACGCGCUUCAUGCCACACGUUCCUAGAGACCAAUAGGAGUCUGAUAUUGCAGAGACAUCGUGUCAAUAUUUAAUUUAAAUCAUGAAAUGGCUUCAUUUGAAAUGAUGCGGAUCAGUUUCCUCAAAUUUUCACCAAACCCUCAUGCUUUUUAAUAUUGCUUAGUAGAUAUUAUUAUUAAAUGAACUAAAACUUAUGAUUAUAAGCUAUGACAAAUGUGGACCACAUGUUAUGAUUAUGAAGCCAUCAUGUUGACAUUCCAGAUGGGUUUUCUAUUUUAUAAUUUAAUUGUAUAUCAUCACUUAAAAUUAAAAUAGUGACAGUCUAUGUUAAAGUUAAGAUUUCAUUCCUUCUAUAUAACAGUACAUAUGACAUCAUGCCAUUUAAAAUUUUAAUUAAUGUAACUCUAAAUAUAUUUUUAAAUUUAUAAUAUUUAAUCUCACUUUUACUUUUCUCAAUUCAACAAGUUUAUAGGUACCCAAAAAUUCACAAAAAAAAUUCAAAUACUCUCUUAUCUUUGUAGUGGUCAAAGAUCUUGUAGUUGAAUUAGUACCUUUCCAUAGACAAAGUGCUUGAAGAAUUGGGAGAAAAAGGUUUGAGAUGUAGAUUGGUGGGAUAUUGUAAUUAUCUCUUAAUAUAUAUAUAUAUAUAUAUAUAUAUUUAUACUGUGGUGGACCUACGUGAGGUGAGCCGACAAGUUUAUGUAAGUGAUUGUGAAAUUUUAGUGAGUUUUCUUUUGUCGGUAGACUUGUCAAUGUUGUCAUACCUAAUAUUCUAACCUGACUUGCAAUAAUGAAUCGUUUAUCAAAUAAGGGCAAUCAGGAAUAGUGGGGCUAUGGAGAUGUCAACUUUUGUCAAAAACUCAAAGAUGUAACUUGUAAAGGCAGGCAUGACUAAUCUUUUAUAUGAUUAUGGCAUCUUCUUUUUGUCAAGAACUCACGAAGGAAGAGAGAGGAUUUCGGGUUUAUCACAACUUUAGAGGCUUGUAAUAAUGUUGUUCUCAUAUAAUCUCAUGUAAUUAUGCUGCUCAAGUUUUGGCUGGGUUUGCAAAGGAGAAAGAGGAGGAACUCAUUUUGUUAGAGGAGGGUCCUCAUCUCUUCUUCCCAUUAUAUAAAGAGAUUCAGUGAAAUAAAACUGCUACUGUAUUCUAUA